GGGGAGAUAGCUCAGUUGGUAGAGUGUUUGCCUCAUAAGCACAAGGUCCUGGGUUCAAAUCCCCAGCACCACCCCA